CAGACUCGACGCACGUCCUGCCCCCCGCGAUGUGCGAUCCACCCCAGGCAAACAGACCGCCGCACAUCACGCCGCUAAACGCAUCAUCCUCUGCCCCAACUGCGCCCCGCCUCCCUCCCCACCGCCGUGCUCCCCCUCUCCGCACGGACGCCCUCCCCGCCUCCGCUGCCGCCCACGCAACGGACGCCAUCAUGGCAGUCGCCGAUCCGCUCAAGACCCAAAAGCCCGUCGCGAGGACCUAGAAGUCCUCCAUGGAGCUUAAGCCGCUCCCUCCGGGCCUGCCGCACCAAGGAAAAGCGGAUCGAGUGGGGCGCGGAAGGAGCCGAGGUCGGCACGCCGCCGUCGCUUGGGCUUGUCGGCGGCGAACAGGGUGUCCCCAAGAACCGGCCGUGGGUCAAGAAGACGGUGAUGUUCCCAAAUCCCACAUUCGUCGCUCCCACCUCCGUCACCGUGUACGCCUCGCCGUUAGCGACAAAGAAACUAAAGCGGUCCUACAAGACUAGGUCCCCUGUCAGUCAAGGUCGCGCAGACCUCGCACAAGUUCCUGGUGGCAGCAUGAUGAGUGGGCUCAAGCAGCAACCCGGCGUCAGCUUGACGGCGUGGACUAUCAGGAUAUCAUCCUGAUGCGUGCUGAUCAAUUCAAUCGUGGUGAGAAGAUGAGCUCUGCUAUACUCAAAAGUGUGCACCACAAAGAAACGAGAAACUCUGAAACUAUACAUGGGUCAGUGAUCUAUAGAUUUAUCUUUCAAGAAUACCAGCAGUUGGUUUCGUUUCAAACUAAUUAGGUAGAUAUUUGUGCAAGUUUAUAGAAAUUUGUCAUGCCUAGCUAGCUGCUCUAGCAGUCAGUUGAAUCUGUGUUUGGGUCAAUUUUUGAGGUUUGGUCUGGCACAACUAUAUUUCAACGGAGGUAGGUGACACUCAUGAGGCAAGAGCACUUCACAAGGGCUAUUAUAGCAAAGAAAUCGUUGGGUCUGCAAUUCUGGAUCAAAGGACACAGAAAAGAUGAUGGAGUUAGAGCUUCCGUACAGCAGAGUCUUAGCUGCUGGUCACACUUUAACCACACGUCAAUUGUAGGAGUGGUGCGGCGCCAUCCUGUACCACAAAUCAUGCGAAGAAUGAUGGGUGGUGUAAUCCUAUGCUAGCUAGAGUGCUAGACUGAUUUCAGAAACUCUUGGAGCUCAUCUUUUGGCCUGAAACACCAAGAACUAACCUGCCACAGCAGUGACUACUGAUUAAUACAAUGGAGUUCAUUUGAUCCAUCUGAUAAAAUACCUAUUGGGGAAUAAGCGUGAAAAGUAAUCACCCACUCUUUCCGGAGUGGAAUUCAGGUAUGCCUGCUCAUCUAUUUAUUUGACUGUUGUUAUAGAUAGAUUCAUCCGGGUCUGAACUGUUAAUGGAGUUGUUUCAUUCCUCACACAAUCCCUUUCAAUUGGAUCAGUUCUCCUUUUUGAAUUACUCUAUAUUCCAUACAUAUAUGUUUAUUAUGUUCAUCGAGACUGCAAGACAUUUAUUUUGUUGAUAUUACCUUCAAGGGAACAUGGUACCUACGAUGCAGGAGGACUAUUGGAAAUCAGUUUUAAAUUUAAUCAAGUGUAUACUUCUCUUUUGUCUCUUCCGCAGCCAUGAUGUUAAGAAGUUCAGUGUAGGCAGGAAAAAAAAUCUUGGUAAGCUAUAAUCUUCUGAUCACAGUCUUACUUUUUUUAUUACUCUUGUUAGUGCUUCCGUUACUUUCUACUGAAUAUGUUCAAUGGGCUAGGGAGUGGACCUUCCAUGCAAACUCAAGUGAUAAUAUGUGCAUGUUGUGUUUUUAGUCCUGUAAAUUUAAUAAGCCAACACCUUUCAUUUAAACAAAGUCAAGAUCACACAUCUAUUUUUGACCUAGAGCCAUUUCAUUGCCAAUAAGAGCAGCUUUUGCAUGGUAAUUGAUAGCUCUUCCUCUCAGGUAUGUUCUCUUUUUAGCAUAAUCAUAUCCCAGUGUGUUGUAUAUUCUUUUCUCCAAUGAAGGUCUGUUGCAUGACCAAUUCAUUUCUCCCUUCUAUCUGAUUGCCAGACUGCUGACGACUUUCCGAUAAAUUGUCUGUCUUUUUCGACUGGCCAUUAGUUUCUGAAAUUAAGGUACUGUGAUUUGGGAGGAAUAGAUGUGUACACACUAUUGUUAAUUGCAGGAGGGUGAUUUGUAGUCUAAAGCCUAAAAUCUCUGGAUUGGAUGGCGACGGCGCAUCGGCGUCGCUUACUUCUUGAAGACGCCGCCUUGGGAGCUCUUCGUGGUCAGUUUGGUGCGGUGGUGGUCUGCCAAUCUUCAGUAGUGUCCCUGCUCGGGAGUUGCGGUGGGCUUUUGGGUCUUGGCCAGAGACGGUCGCGAUAUAUGGGUUUCCUACAGAGGCGAGGUCGCCACAGAUGUUGUCCUAUCCCCCGCAACUGGUUGGCAUGUUCAUGCGUGCUCGGGGGUGAGCUGCUCUGCCUGCCGACGGAACGACGUCCUUUGAUCCAGGACGAGAGGGCAGGGGUGCCCUCUCCGGAGGCUGCGACAGGAUAACAGGUUGGCCUUGGGAGGGGCGGAGCGUGGCUUUCUUCCGGCGACGAAUAGCUUCCUUGUCGCAGUUGCGUUGAUGGCAUGAUCUGCGGCCGUCGUGGGCUUCGAGAUCCUACGGAUCCUUCGGAGCUCGUUAGUUGUUCCGUAGUGUUUUGUAUCCGGUCGUGUUUGUCUUUCGUUUCUUAUGGUAUUGCCGUCUGUAAUGUCUGGUUUGCUUUAUUAUUUAUAAAGCGGGGCGAAACCCUUUUUGGGUAAAUAUGAUAGAACGAUGGAUUACAUGGUUGCUUUUCAAACCUAUUCAGGUUGGUGGAAGUCGUGAACUUUAUAUUCAUAUUAGUUCAUGUAUUUGUUUACUGGCGGUAACUAUUUCAUCUGAUGGUAUUGCUAUCGUGUCAUACAGAACAAGUACUCUGAUGAUGGCAAGAAGCAUAAUGUUAAAUGAACUGGGUAAUGUUGAGGUUGAUGAUAGCAUGCUUGUGUAAGUUUUUACAAGCUGUACAUUAUAUGGAUGAGAUCAUGAAUGUGGUAUGAAAAAAUGUCUGUCCAGUGUACAAAGCCAUGAAACUGGAUUCAGAAAUAAGAAAUAGUCGCUUCGACGACGGCGGUGGCGGGCACCGUGGCAUGGACGACGGUGAUCCCCUCGGCGGCGGCGAUCUGCAGCAGGUCAUGCUGGCUCUGCACCAGGCUCGCCGGCAUGAAUUGACCCCCUUCCACCGCCCUACGCCCCACCUGCUCGGCGUUCACCUCCGCUGGCGCCUACUGGCACACGAACUUCACCAGAAUUCACUUGCAGGAGAUUAAUGUGUUUGGGGAACUAUAUAUUGAAAAAGUGUGUAUUUUUGCAAGAGAAUAUAUAAUUGAUGUAACAUAUAUGAAAGAUGGUCUGAUAUUUGGAUUAAAGAGGCAUACUGAUUCAUCUUUAAAAAAAGGCAUACUGGUUCACAAAGAAUAAUAUUUCUAAUUUUCUGGAUGUUUGAUACAAUGUACAUUUGUGUUAGACGUGCGUUGCACAUGCAUGCUUACUAUAGAUUAUCCUAUACAUUUCCUUUAUUAACACAAAUGGCAAUUCUAUAAUCUGUAGGCAUUACAUCUCUGUUUUGCGCAGGAAACUUCAGAAAUUAGGCUUUUCUUUGUAAAUGUCUUCACGACACUGGGUUGGCUUCUAUUCCGGUGGUCACAGAAUACUCAUGGGAUUUCAUUUGAAUGUUUAUUCUUCAGAUUAUGCUGAACUAAAUAUGAGCUCAGUGUGGUGUUUGGUUUGAAUGGUGAAUUUUGUGCGGUGUUUCUGCAGGAGUUUUUUAAUCUAAAGCAAGGGUGAGCGCCAAGGAAGGAGGCGCCGCCACGGGCGACGGUGGCGGGGUUGGCCGCUGGCGGCUGCAAUAUUUAAUCAUUGUUGUCAACAUUGGCACACAGGAUUUAGUGGAAGGAAGGUUUUGGGCCAUCAGAUUUCCCUGAGAAUCAAGGGAAAGGAAGAGGAAAGGAAAAUGUUGAUACAUGCUCUGUUGCAAGUGUUUAUGUCGCGCAGAAACUUUAAUCUAUUGUGCAGAAUACAUUUCUUCAGAGAAACCGUUGGUCGUGUGCAGAAUAUAUUUCUUCAGAAAAUGUGUUAUUGUGCAGAAACUACAAUGAAGUUGUUGGGGAGAAGAUCCAGUGAACUCGGCUACAUCGGGUUGGGUCAAAGUUACUGGUCCUUCGAACGGUCUAUUGUGCGUCGAAAGUCACGUUCAUCUCUGGCAAAUUCCACCGUAGCCUCGGUCGUACAUGUGCUUCAAUCUAUUUUCGUAUUCUUUUCUUGGGUGUUUGACAAAUGCUUCACAAACUAAGCUCAUGUUAAACAUGCACAACUAUGUAAGAUAGUUUCACCUCUCUUAUGUACUUGCGGAUUGACAUGCAUUGCCAAUUUGUAUUGUUUCUAAACUGAAAAAAUGAUGCCCUCUUGUUCACCGAUUAUCCAUGAACUCAAAUGAUGCCCUCGUGUACUUCAUUGGCCUUUCAUAUGCUGGUUGUGCACACAUGGCAUUAGCUUGUCCUUUUCUACUUUAUUUGUUCAGUUCGCUGGAAAUGGAAAUACCGCCUGAAACUUUUAUGCACGUGCCACCUUCGAUCUUCAGUACCUUAAUAUGUCUUGUUAAACUCCUACAAAGGUUAUCAUAAACCAUAACCAUCUAACAUGCAUUGCACUCUGACCCGAUGUAGUAAUUCGCAACAGCAGUGCCACGGUUCAGUUCAGCAUGGGGACCAACUACCUCUACAAUGUCCACUCCUAUUGGCCUCUGACCUGUCAAACAAGAAGAGAUGGUGCAGCUAGCUGCUGAAAAGGAGAUGACCGUGGUCCUAUUGACAAGAGGAGAUGACGAAGACGCAGCAGACCAAGCCUUUGCGUUCUCCAGUCUCAUGCACAAGGAGUUUCGCAAGAUGGCCAAUGUUGUUAGGAACCAGGUCACUCGCAACUACUACAUGGCUGACUUGACCAAACCCGCUCUUGCAAGACUUCAAUUUACUGCAACCUGGUAAUUUUUUUUUUGAAAAGGAGGUUACUGCAACCUGGUAAAUGAUGAGUAUAAUGAAUGAUGCGCUCAUUACACUGGUUGUGCGAGUAGGUUCAACAUUUGUACCGCAUGACUAUGUUUCCAGAAUUGAUUGGGACAUUCCCCCUUUUCUUUAGAAAUGAAUGGAAAUUUGCACUCCCUCUA